GCUCACUUAAUGUCAUUUCAUUAUAAGUUGUCUCUCCAACUACACAUGCAUGCAUAAAAAUAUUUGAUCACUUGUCCUACGUAUAGGGCAAUGCUAUACAUACCUUCACAAAAGAAGCCCCUGUGGAUUUAAUGGAGUUUACUCACCACUGUGUAUAUUUAGAGGAUUGAGCUAUUUAAGAUCAAGAAACUAGCCAAGUUUGAUUUACCAAUUAGGUUUCAAGGAAAGCUUCCAAAAACAGAGAUGAGGCAUGCCUGCCACUUGUCUAAGGUAGAUAGCAAGAGGAAACAUGAUCUGCUUAGUGACUGUUAGUUUCUGGGCUUUUUCAAAAGCAAAAGUCCAUUUUGGGUUCACUUAAUACUCAUUGGCUAUGCCAGCUAAUAAAAUACCCUAUUUAUAAAUAAUACAUAUCUUGUAUUAUAAGCUUGCUUAUAAAUUUACCAGCAUAUUAGUGGCCAGGAAAAGACUGGGGGCAGGUUUGGGAGCUUCCAUUAGAAACCAACUUCAGUUUUUAAGAGACAUUCCUUGAUUGUUGUAUCUUAGGCCAUCCUUCAGAGCAAAUAAGUAGCUUUGAAACUAUUUCAGAAUUUUGGAGAAAAGUACAGUCAUCCCUCCUUAUCCACAGAUUUUUUAUGCACAGAUUCAAGCAUCCAUGGCUUGAAAAUACUUGUAAAAUAUAUAAAUUCCAGAAAGCAAACCUUUAUUUUGCCAUUUAAUAUAUUUUAUACCAUUGUAUUGAAAGGGACUUGAGCAUGCAUACAUUUUGGUAUACAUGGGGAGUGCUGGAACCAACCCCAGAAGAUCACAAGGGCCCACUGUAUCCACACUUGUCCAUUAUAUCUUUGCAAACCAUAAAGCUGAGGCAAGUGUAAAGAAGUCUCAGUGUGGGAAGCAUAAACAUCUAUCUCUUCUUCUUCCCCAACCCCCUUUUCAGAGCUUACUUUAUUUUUGAAUAAGGGGGAAUGUGUUGUGCAUAUUGGCACAAUACAGAUGGGUGAUUAGUGGUGUCCUGGCGAACUAGGGCUAGAUGAGGCUGCACAUUUACAGGCCCAGCAGCCCUAGUUCGCAAGGAGGCCUCCAUCAUUGUUCACCCCAUCUACACUGGUGGCGCCAUGAUGGUGUGAGUGUGGUGCAGUGCCCAAACUGCACUGGACAGAAGUGACAUUAUUGGGCGCAAGAGCACCAGUCCGACUCCUUCCAGGAAGCUGCUUUGAGCAGCUUCUUUUUGCUCCCAAGAGGGAGUGUCUUGUUGCAGCACCUUUUGGUUGCUGCAGCAAUAAUGUAGGGCAAAAACGGGCAGCACAGAGCUGCUCAUCUGUCGAGCCCCAUUGUCUCUCUUUCCCCAGAUCCAGACCUGAGAAAAAGGUAUCUUCACCACAGUGGGCCAGGUUUACUGGGGAAUAAUGGGAGUUGUGGUUCAGAACAUAUAGAGGAUCCUGGGUUGAGGAAGACAGGUUUAUGAAUUAGUGCUUUAAUCCUGAACUAGUGGACUGUGAGUAGCUCCCAGAUACAUUUUUACCUUUUCUCCUUUAAAAAAGGGAAGAAGGCAAUAGAAAGCAGGAAACCAGAGAUACAAAGGUCUAGUCACCCAUAGAAGAAAAAAUUUAAGCACAUACUAUUUUUCUCAAUCACUUUGUGCCCUGUUUUUUCUCCAAGACUGGGAUUCAAGAUGGUUUAACAGAUUAAAAUAAAUACAAAUAAAGCCACAUGUAUCUAAAAUUAAAAAGCAGUCUACAUCCUCUACAAACAUACCUGUUUGGGCAAGCUCAUAUCAAUAGCUAAGAUAUGAACCGUAUGGGUCCUUAUAAGUCAGAAUCAGCACUUUUUUCCCCAAAACUUCUUGAAAAUAGACUGAUUGCCUAUAGAUCUCAUGUGGGAUGGGGCAAGAAUCCCCAUAGAAUCUUGAGUGGAAGAUUGAGUGGAAACGGCUUCAAAAGCAAUGUUCCCUAUAGUGCUGUCCUUAAUGAAUGGUGGUGUAGAUGUAAAAGAUUACACUUAGCUCUGGAGCAGGGAGCUGCCACACCUUCAGGUGUCAACCACACAGCAGUGGUGAAUGAGUGUUUUUGCAGUUGUCAUCCCUGUGACUGGUUGCUGAUUUCAGUCAGAAGGCUUGGUCUGUACUGUACAGCUGUUAGUUGAACUGUCGAUAUGAUAACUCUUCAGCUGAAUGCAACUGUGGUUGAAAACAGAAGUCUUUGCAUUUUGGAGACUGUAUAAAGGCUGGCAGAAGCUGGAGCUAGUGACAGGAGAUCACGCCAUUAUGCAGCACUCGGGCCUCAAAAUACCAACCUUCUGAUCUUCCAAUCAUCAGAAUUGGCAUCUGGUCACCACAAAUCAGAAAUGCCUUGAAGGCACAACAACUCCCAGUAUGCCAUUCUCCAGUUGGCAGUGUUUUAUGAACCAGAUGUAGGCUCAGCAUUGCUACCCAAAAUAUGGCUACAAUUCAAAUGGAGUCAGGUCAAAUAUGCUGAAAUGUCUCCCAUAACUGUGUGCCUGUCUCUGAGACACUACUGCCUUUUGUUAAGCAACUGUACCUAUUAAAGUCAUUCAGGAGAGCAGCCUUUGUUUCAGAGUUUCCUUUAUUUUAGAGAACCUUUUGUAUUUUCUGUAAUCCAAGAUCACAUAAAAGGAGAGCCAAGAUUCAAGGAGAUUCAACCUGGGGGAAAGUGCUUGAAGCCCUCAUCUUUGAUCAAGAGGCAUUUCAGUUAGAGAAUGUCAAUCAUGGUCCUGACUUAGAAAAUCUUGUUUAAACUGUCCUCUUCUAGUUUGUAUUCCUCCAGCCAGAAGUACAUUUUCCUCCCCAGGAAAGUCUAAUGGGACUUAGGAAAGGCAUUUUUUUUUACCCCUAACAUCUAUCAGGGAGCUUUUCCCCAGUGGAUUGGUAGCUCCCCCAUCUAUUCCCUCCAUAGUGUGUGUGUGGUUUAAAAAUUGUGUAUUGCUUCCCAGUUUUAUAUUGCCUCUCUGUCUUCCCCACUUCUCUUCUUAGCAACCCCUGAACCUCAGAAUGCUUAUCCUUCCGUAUUCUUAUCUGAAUCCAGCAUUCUAUAGCACAUAUACACCUGCCCCAAAGACAACCUCAAUACCCUCUGAACCCUAUUAGCUUGAUAUUUGAAUUAAUAUUUCUCCACCCUGAAGCAACGUAUGCUUUUAGCUAGAUGUUUAUGUUAGGCAUAUACUAUUUGUCAGUUCUGGAGCUCUACCAUAAUAUUUGCUAUUCCUCAGUGCAAUCAUUGUGUAUAUUUUGAUUUGUGUGUGUUCAAUAAAACUCUCCUUCAGUUC